UACAGAGGUCUCAAGCGUUGUUCGGAUUCAUUGGGCGUAAAGCGGGUGUAGGCGGCUCUAUAAGUCAGGAGUGAAAGCCCCGAGCUUAACUUGGGAAGUGCUUUUGAUACUGCAGAGCUUGAAUGUGGGAGAGGGUAGUGGAAUUCCAGGUGUAGUGGUGAAAUACGUAGAUAUCUGGAGGAACACCGGUGGCGAAGGCGGCUACCUGGCCCCAACAUUGACGCU
rnacentral:rRNA from 1 species